rnacentral:tRNA from 1 species
GGGCCGUUAGCUCAGCUGGUAGAGCGGGUGACUCUUAAUCACUAGGUCAUAGGUUCGAAUCCUAUACGGCCCACCA